UACGUAGGGUGCAAGCGUUGUCCGGAAUUAUUGGGCGUAAAGAGCUCGUAGGCGGUCUGUCGCGUCGGCUGUGAAAACCCGGGGCUCAACCCCGGGCCUGCAGUCGAUACGGGCAGACUAGAGUGCGGUAGGGGGAGACUGGAAUUCCUGGUGUAGGCGGUGAAAUGCGCAGAUAUCAGGAGGAACACCGGUGGCGAAGGCGGGUCUCUGGGCCGUAACUGACGCUGAGGAGCGAAAGCGUGGGGAGCGAACAGG
rnacentral:rRNA from 1 species